AAAGGAAUUGACGGGGGCGCACCACCAGGAGUGAAGCCUGCGGUUUAAUUGGAUUCAACGCCGGAAAACUCACCUGAACAGACGAUAGAAUGAAGCUCAAGCUAAUGACUUUAGCUAACUAAUCGAGAGGAAGUGCAUGGCCGUCGACAGUUCGUGCUGUGAAGUGUCCUGUUAAGUCAGGCAACGAACGAGAUCCACGUCCGCAAUUGCCAGCGGGUCCCUUAGGGGAUGCCGGGAACCUUGCGGAGACUGCUCGGUGCUAAACCAGAGGAAGGAGUGGGCAACGGCAGGUCAGUAUGCUCCGAUAGUUCAGGGCUACACGCGGGCUGCAAUGGUCGGUACAAUGGGCUGCAACCCCGAAAGGGGAAGCCAAUCCCGAAAGCCGGUCUCAGUCAGGAUCGCGGUUUGUAACUCAACCGCGUGAAUAUGGAAUUCCUAGUAAUCGUGUUUCAUCAAGACACGGUGAAUACGUCCCCGCGCCUUGUACACACCGCCCGUCGUUGCAACCAACCGUAUGGUGGUUGAGGUGGCUGAUUUUAUGCGGCUAUCAAUACUGCUGUAUAUGAGGAGGCAAAAGUCGUAACAAGGUAGCCGUAGGGGAACCUGCGGCUG
rnacentral:rRNA from 1 species